UUACCGUAGGUGAACCUGCGGUAGGAUCAUUAAAAACAAGUGUUUCCACACUUAUCAACCCUCGUGAACUGUUUCUAACCACGUGACUUUGAACCGAUAGCUCGUGUGAGCACACAGAUGAUGGGAGCUUGAGAAGGGUGUCUCUUGCCUCUCGGUUGCUCCGCUAUCUCCUCUUCAAUGAGGAAGGUUUAAUCUCACGUUUUUUUAACAAAUUCAUCUGUAACCCUUUUUACAAACCCUUUUUGUACCCUUUUUAUUGAUCAAAAAUGCUCAAUCGAGUCGAAAGAUUCGUGUUGAAGCUCAAAAAUAAGAAAUUAAAGCACAACUCUUAGCAACGGAUAUCUAGGCUCUC
rnacentral:misc_RNA from 1 species